AUCACUUCUCGGCCUUUUGGCUAAGAUCAAGUGUAGUAUCUGAAAUAAAUAUGAAAAAGUUUUGACCUUUUUUUUUGGUACCAGGGAUCAAACUCAGGACCUUGU
rnacentral:snRNA from 1 species